ensembl:lncRNA
AUCCAAGAUGGCGCCGUUGAUGGCUUCGGUGCGCUUCGUUUUUUGUUGUUUUUGUUGUUAAUUACGUUUGCUGCUGCGAUUCCCGGAGCUCUUUCACCAGAGAUGAGCUCUUGAACAUCCGUGGAACUACUCCAGCGGAGUUACUUCCAACUUUCCUGCUUUCUUCCGUGGAAUUACUGGACAUUUUAGUCAAAGGUGCGGUCACCUUUCGUCACGCGGUGAGACGCCGUCGGAGAGGAAAACGGGCCGGCUCGCUGGUGAGACUCCGCAGGCGUGGUUCUCGCACUCCGCUGCCAGGCAUCUUUCUCUCCAACGUGCGCUCACUGUGCAACAAACUGGACGAAAUUCAGCUGCUGAUGAGGAGAGACGGAGACUUCUCUACAUCCUCCGUCUUGUGCUUCACGGAGACGUGGCUCUGCGGAUCGAUACCGGACUCCGCGCUCCAGCUGGCGGGCUUCCAGCUGCUCCGAGCGGACCGCGACACGGAGCUCUCCGGCAAGACGAAGGGUGGAGGAAUCUGCUUCUACUUCAACAACAGCUGGUGCAACGACGUAACGGUGAUCCUACAACACUGUUCUCCUGAUCUGGAAACUUUUUUCAUCCACUGCAAACCCUUUUAUUCCCCCCGUGAGUUCGCUUCAUUCAUCCUGGUCGGUGUUUACAUGCCGCCGGCGGGCAACGUGCACGAGGCACAGCGGACACUCGCCGACCAGAUACGGCGUGUGGAGCGGACCAACCCGGACUCUUUAGUUAUUGUCCUCGGGGACUUUAACAAAGGAAAUCUCACCAAUGAACUCCCUAAAUACAGACAGUUUAUUAAAUGCCCCACCAGAGAGGAGAACACGCUGGAUCACUGCUACACCACAGUCAGCAGGGCUUAUCACGCCGUCCCUCGUGCUGCACUGGGACACUCUGACCACGUCAUGGUCCAUCUGAUUCCUGCAUACAGGCAGAAACUAAAGCUCUGCAAACCUGUGGUGAGGGAAUUCAAGAAGUGGACCAGUGAGGCGCUGGAGGAUCUUCGGGCGUGCUUUGACUGCACAGACUGGGAUGUUUUCAGCUACUGACAGUCUGGAUGAGUUCACAGAGGCUGUAACUUCCUACAUCGGCUUCUGUGAGGACAGCUGUGUACCAUCAUGCACCAGGCAACGACCCUCUCUAUUCUGGAGAGAGACGUUAACCGGCUCUUUAGAAGACUAAAUCCCCGUAAGGCAGCCGGUCCGGACUCCGUUUCCCCUCACUCCCU